UACGUAGGGUCCGAGCGUUGUCCGGAAUUAUUGGGCGUAAAGGGCUCGUAGGCGGUUUGUCGCGUCGGGAGUGAAAACCUCGGGCUUAACUCGGGGCUUGCUUUCGAUACGGGCAGACUAGAGGUAUGCAGGGGAGAACGGAAUUCCUGGUGUAGCGGUGAAAUGCGCAGAUAUCAGGAGGAACACCGGUGGCGAAGGCGGUUCUCUGGGCAUGAUCUGACGCUGAGGAGCGAAAGUGUGGGGAGCGAACAGG
rnacentral:rRNA from 1 species